UGUGGGAGCGAGCCUGCUCGCGAUGACGGCGGUACAUUCAACAUCAAUGUUGGCUGACCAGGCGCUAUCGCGAGCAGGCUCGCUCCCACA
rnacentral:misc_RNA from 1 species